GACGAACGCUGGCGGCGUGCUUAACACAUGCAAGUCGAACGAUGAAGCGGGUGCUUGCACUCGUGGAUUAGUGGCGAACGGGCGAGUAACACGUGAGUAACCUGUCCUUUUCUUUGGGAUAACGGCUGGAAACGGCUGCUAAUACUGGAUAUUCAGGCUGCAUCGCAUGGUGUGGUUUGGAAAGGUUUUUUCUGGGAUUGGGUGGGCUCGCGGCCUAUCAGCUUGUUGGUGGGGUGAUGGCUUACCAAGGCUUUGACGGGUAGCCGGCCUGAGAGGGUGGUCGGUCGCACUGGGACUGAGAUACGGCCCAGACUCCUACGGGAGGCAGCAGUGGGGAAUAUUGCACAAUGGACGAAGGUUUGAUGCAGCGACGCCGCGUGGAGGGUGUAGGCCUUCGGGUUGUGAACUCCUUUUUCUCGCGAAAAAGGCACAGUUUUGGCUGUGUUGAUGGUAGUGGGGGAAGAAGCGCCGGCUAACUACGUG
rnacentral:rRNA from 1 species